rnacentral:rRNA from 1 species
UGCCAGCCGCCGCGGUAAUACGGAGGGUGCAAGCGUUAAUCGGAAUUACUGGGCGUAAAGCGCGCGUAGGCGGUUGUCUAAGCUAGAUGUGAAAGCCCACAGCUUAACUGUGGAAUUGCCUUUGAUACUGUUGUGCUUGAAUCAGGAUGAGGUUAGCGGAAUGUGACAUGUAGCGGUGAAAUGCAUAGAUAUGUCAUAGAACACCAAUUGCGAAGGCAGCUGACUAGACCUGCAUUGACGCUGAGGCACGAAAGCGUGGGGAGCGAACAGGAUUAGAUA